rnacentral:rRNA from 1 species
UUUAUUCAUUAUUCUUAGUGGCGGACGGGUGAGUAACACGUGAGCAACCUGCCUCUAAGAGAGGGAUAGCUUCUGGAAACGGAUGGUAAUACCUCAUAACAUAAUCAUACCGCAUGGUGAGAUUAUCAAAGAUUUAUCACUUAGAGAUGGGCUCGCGUCUGAUUAGCUAGAUGGUGAGGUAACGGCCCACCAAGGCGACGAUCCAUAGCCGACCUGAGAGGGUGACCGGCCACAUUGGGACUGAGACACGGCCCAAACUCC